rnacentral:rRNA from 1 species
CCGCCCUAGUUCUGACCGUAAACGAUGCCAACUAGCGAUCCGCCGGCGGAUUUAUUCGCCCUGGUGGGGAGCUUCCCGGAAACGAAAGUCUUCCGGUUCCGGGGGAAGUAUGGUUGCAAAGCUGAAACUUAAAGGAAUUGACGGAAGGGCACCACCAGGAGUGGAGCCUGCGGCUUAAUUUGACUCAACACGGGGAAACUCACCCGGCCCGGACACCGUAAGGAUUGACAGAUUGAUAGCUUUUUCAUGAUUCGGUGGAUGGUGGUGCAUGGCCGUUCUUAGUUCGUGGAGCGAUUUGUCUGGUUUAUUCCGAUAACGAGCGAGACUCUGGCCUACUAAAUAGUUGGCUCAUUGCUUCUGUGAGUACAACUUCUUAGAGGGAUUUUCGGUGUUCAGCCGCACGAAAUUGAGCAAUAACAGGUCUGUGAUGCCCUUAGAUGUCCGGGGCUGCACGCGCGCUACACUGGCAAAAUCAGCGUGCUUGUCCUUCCCCGAAAGGGGUUGGUAAACCGGUGAAAAUUUGCCGUGAUUGGGAUCGGACAUUGCAAUUAUUGUCCGUGAACGAGGAAUUCCUUGUAGGGGCGAGUCAUCAACUCGCUCUGAUUACGUC